rnacentral:rRNA from 1 species
ACGUAGGGUGCGAGCGUUAAUCGGAAUUACUGGGCGUAAAGCGUGCGCAGGCGGUUCGUCAAGUCUGAUGUGAAAGCCCCGGGCUCAACCUGGGAAUGGCAUUGGAAACUAGCGAGCUUGAGUGUGGCAGAGGGGGGUGGAAUUCCACGUGUAGCAGUGAAAUGCGUAGAGAUGUGGAGGAACACCGAUGGCGAAGGCAGCCCCCUGGGCUGACACUGACGCUCAGGCACGAAAGCGUGGGGAGCAAACAGGAUUAGAUACCCUGGUAGUCCACGCCCUAAACGAUGGCAACUGGGUGUUGGGGGAGCGAUUCCUCAGUACCGUAGCUAACGCGUGAAGUUGCCCGCCUGGGGAGUACGGCCGCAAGGUUA